rnacentral:rRNA from 1 species
UACAUGUGGGGCAAGCGUUGUUCGGAAUUACUGGGCAUAAAGGGUGCGUAGGUGGUUUGUUAAGUCAGGGGUGAAAUCCCGCGGCCCAACCGUGGAACUGCCUUUGAUACUGGCGAACUUGAGUGCGUGAGGGGUGGGGGGAACGAGCAGUGUAGCGGUGAAAUGCGUAGAUAUUGCUCGGAAGGCCAGAGCCGAAGGGGCCCUACUGGUGCGCAACUGACACUGAGGCACGAAAGCGUGGGGAGCAAACAGG